GGAGCAUGCGGCUUAAUUCGACGCAACGCGAAGAACCUUACCAAGGCUUGACAUAUACAGGAAUAUGGCAGAGAUGUCAUAGCCGCAAGGUCUGUAUACAGGUGGUGCAUGGUUGUCGUCAGCUCGUGUCGUGAGAUGUUGGGUUAAGUCCCGCAACGAGCGCAACCCUCGUUCUGUGUUGCCAGCAUUUAGUUGGGGACUCACAGGAGACUGCCGGGGUUAACUCGGAGGAAGGUGGGGAUGACGUCAAAUCAUCAUGCCCCUUAUGUCUUGGGCUGCACGCAUGCUACAAUGGCUGGUACAAACGGCUGCGAUACCGCAAGGUGGAGCGAAUCCGAUAAAGCCAGUCUCAGUUCGGAUUGGGGUCUGCAACUCGACCCCAUGAAGUCGGAGUUGCUAGUAAUCGUAGAUCAGCAACGCUACGGUGAAUACGUUCCCGGGG
rnacentral:rRNA from 1 species